UAGCUCAGUUGGUUAGAGCGCGUCACUGAUAAUGACGAGGUCUCUGGUUCGAGUCCAGA
rnacentral:tRNA from 1 species